rnacentral:sRNA from 1 species
GACCUAAAUCUUUCAAUUUUUUGAUUGAAAGACAUGGACUCAAAACCUGAAACAUAUUGAACCCUCACCAGGUCCUGUUUCAGGUUAUAUGGGGAAACCCAUAUAGGUGCCGUAAGGCAUC